GACGAACGCUGGCGGCGUGGAUUAGGCAUGCAAGUCGAACGGUAUCAUCCUUUCGGGGGUGAGAGAGUGGCGAACUGGUGAGUAACACGUAGGUUAUCUACCCUCAAGACGGGGACAACCCAGGGAAACUUGGGCUAAUACCGGAUGUGAGCAACUUUUAGUUGUUUGAAAGGUGGCGUAAGCUGUCGCUUGGGGAUGAGCCUGCGUCCUAUUAGUUAGUUGGUGAGGUAACGGCUCACCUAGGCAAUGAUAGGUAGGCGGCCUUAACGGGUGGUCGCCCACACUGGGAUUGAGAUACGGCCCAGACUCCUACGGGAGGCAGCAGUCGAGAAUAGUCUACAAUGGUCGGAAGACUGAUAGUGCGACGCCGCGUGAACGAUGAAUCCCUUCGGGGUGUAAAGUUCUUUUAUAUGUGAGCAGUGCUUCUUAUAUUAACAGUAUGGGAGAGAGAUAUUAGCAUAUGAAUAAGCAACGGCUAACUCCGUGCCAGCAGCCGCGGUAA
rnacentral:rRNA from 1 species